rnacentral:rRNA from 1 species
GACGUAGGGCGCGAGCGUUGUCCGGAUUUAUUGGGCGUAAAGAGCGUGUAGGCGGCCAAGCAGGUCCGCUGUGAAAACUCGAGGCUCAACCUCGAGAGGUCGGUGGAAACCGUUUGGCUAGAGUCCGGAAGAGGAGAGUGGAAUUCCCGGUGUAGCGGUGAAAUGCGCAGAUAUCGGGAAGAACACCCGUGGCGAAGGCGGCUCUCUGGGACGGUACUGACGCUGAGACGCGAAAGCGUGGGGAGCGAACAGG